UGUUGCAAGUGGACGUCGGUCUGAUAGCAAAAAUCGUAAAGUCUAAAGUUGCUGUCAGUUGGCUAAAUUGACGAACGACAGGAAGUCAAUUUCGCUUUAAAGUUUUGCUAACAAUUUAAUGUCAACUUCUGACAAUAGAUUGACACUAAAUUGCUCGGAAUUUUCAUGUUAGCUUGCUACUGAGUUGAUAUUGGGAUAGUAUUUAAAAAAGUAUUUCUCUUAUAGUGAUUAAUAUUUCAUUACUAUUAUAGGAGCCCUCUGGAGAGUCUACCGAUUCCGAAACUUAGGAAUCUGUGAUCGUAAGGAAUUUACCUCCAUCUUUGAUUGACCGCAAGUAAUCCAGGAAGGCGAAAAUAAUCUGAUACAAAGAUUGCGCACGAUGUUCUUAGAAUUGUAUCGAAAUUAUUUUUUUCUUUCGUUUGAAGAAUAUUUUUAUCAAAUAAAGAC